CGAGCAGAUUACAGCGAUUAGCUGCAGGAGAAGCGGCAGCGCCUCGCCGGCUCCCCGCGCUGACCCUGCCCGCUGAGGCCCCGGGGAGUCCAGGGCAGCUUCCCCUGUAGGCGGCGGCGAAGACGGGGAUUGAGAGUCGAGCCGCGCGGCGCGACCCAGCAGCCGGGCUUGGAACCGUGCGGGGCUCGGAGCGGCAGCGCGGCUGAGGCUCCGCGGAGGUGGCUCGGGACCGCGAGAGUUUGUCAUUCAUUGGUUGGCUCAUAAUCAGUGCUGCCAAGUGAAAUGAAAAGUAUUGGGAAGAGGGAAUAAGAAGUGAGCUGCAUCCACAGAGGUGUGUGUGAUAAAAGGGCUCCGCUUGCACGCCAGGAUCCAGGAAUUCCCAAAAGAAAUUUUUUGUUCAGAAAAGCAGAGCGGGAGUACAGUGCACUCAGCUUCAUUGGAAACUGUCUCCACCUUCAACUAAAAAGGAAGAUGGGGAUAUAAUUCACCUGACACACUUGAAGCAGCUGUCAUUUGGCUAGCUGACAGAGAGACAAGACAAUAGGAAUGCAUCAUUCUGUGACAUCACAGCAAACUCAACUGGAGUAUGAAGAGACCCUCAACAGUUUG